rnacentral:sRNA from 1 species
CGAGGCGCUGGUGCGCGGGGGCAGCGCGCAGCAGGCCGGCGGGCAGGCGGGCGGGCUGGCUGGCAGGCAGGACUGGGAUCGAGGCCCAGAAAACGGAGCAGCGGGCACCAGGGAGGCCUGGAACGGGGCGAGCGCCAUGAGCAACAAAUGCGACGUGGUCGUGGUGGGGGGCGGCAUCUCAGGGCCCCAGCCGAUUGGAUUGGAUGGUGCCCACUACAUUGAGAGCAGGUUUUCCUCUCCCAGUCUGCCAACUCCCAUGCCAGUUUCUUCUGGAAACACCCUCACAGGGACACCCAGAAACAAUGCCUCACCUGCCAUCUAGGUAUCCCACAAUCCAGUCAAGUUGACACCUAAAAUUAACCAUCACAAUGGGUAUGGCAGCAGCCAAACUUCUGCAUGACUCUGGACUGAAUGUGGUUGUUCUGGAAGCCCGGGACCGUGUGGGAGGCAGGACUUACACUCUUAGGAACCAAAAGGUUAAAUAUGUGGACCUUGGAGGAUCCUAUGUUGGACCAACCCAGAAUCGUAUCUUGAGAUUAGCCAAGGAGCUAGGAUUGGAGACCUACAAAGUGAAUGAGGUUGAGCGUCUGAUCCACCAUGUAAAGGGCAAAUCAUACCCCUUCAGGGGGCCGUUCCCACCUGUAUGGAAUCCAAUUACCUACUUAGAUCAUAACAACUUUUGGAGGACAAUGGAUGACAUGGGGCGAGAGAUUCCGAGUGAUGCCCCAUGGAAGGCUCCCCUUGCAGAAGAGUGGGACAACAUGACAAUGAAGGAGCUACUGGACAAGCUCUGCUGGACAGAAUCUGCAAAGCAGCUUGCCACUCUCUUUGUGAACCUGUGUGUCACUGCAGAGACC